GGGUGUUUAGCUCAGUUGGUAGAGCAGUAGCCUCUUAAGCUAUUGGUCCUGGGUUCGAGUCCCAGAACACCCACCA
rnacentral:tRNA from 2 species